UUGCCAGCUAUGUCAAGUGGAUACUUCGUUCAUUAGUCAAGUGGUUAAGACAAUAGGCUCAUAACCUUUCUCCCUGGGUUCAAAUCCCAGAUGAACUCCCUCCAUCCACUGACGCAAUCUGGCAUUUUU
rnacentral:vault_RNA from 1 species